rnacentral:tRNA from 1 species
UUUUAAGUAUCAUAUAAAAUGUAAUUAAUUUCGACUUAAUUUAAGAUUAUAAUAAUCCUUAUUAA